ensembl:lncRNA
CGCGGCGCUCCCGUAACGCAGCGGAGCGGCUGAGCGGUGCGGCGUGCGGUUAAGGCGAGAGCGGAGUUGGCCGCGCAGCGCCCAACACGAGUAGAAAACCGAGGCCGUCGGGCUCAUGCGGAUCCAUGAGGGAGGACUUCUGUUUCACAAGGUUUCACCGCCUCUCGCAUUUUUGUGCUCAGCCAGGGCUGCAUCCAAGGAAGGGCUGCCCGGAUUUUAAACACGGGAGGCUGCAGCGUGGAUCUGGAUGUGCGGACCUCCUCACAGUGAGCGUUCCCGUUGGCGUGUGGGUGCACAAGAAAGGGGAAACCCUGCUCCUCACAGCUGGGGAGAGCACACAGCCAGCAGUGAGCGGUGCCAGCUCCUCCGCCCACCAGGGCUCCUAUGCUCUGCCAGGAGCAAGAGGUGUGUCAGCAAGAAGGCCUGCCAGCAGCCUGCCUGCUCCUCACUCCUAGCUGCGGGACCGCAGGGCACCGAGCUCAACCAGAGCAUUAUUUCCACUCGUGUGCCUGGUGCUGCACAGCUGAGCCACGCGCAGCACGGCACUGAAUAUUUUCAAGUAUUGCAGCUUGUGAUUUUUUUUUAUUGCAGCUUGUGAUUUUUCAAGUAUUGCAGCUUGCAGUGCUUCACAAUGAUUCCAGUUCAAGGGCAAAUUCAGAUUGCGUCACUCACGUGCUAUAAAUGGAGAGUGCGAACAGCACAGCGUGAGCCCCUAGGAACGUGCUGUCCUAACUCGCUUUGUUCUGCAUUUAAGAUCCUUCACCGAGAGCACAAAAAGCACAGCAAAAAUCUGUUUCCAAAUAAACCUCUUGAAUAAAGCAUUUCAAAAGCCAUUUCAAGUUUCAGGAUGAGCAAAAGAUGGGGGCCUGGGCAGCCUGACCUGGCAGGGGCAAGCAGCCCACGUCGGGGCUUGGGGCUGGCUGGCUUUAAGGGCCCUUCCGCCCUUUGAUUCUAUGAUUCUAUGAAUAAAUACUAACUGAAAGAUUA